GUGUGCGCUCGGACGCGUCGGCCGUCAUGGUCUGUACCGGUCGGGUCACACCCCACUGUAGGAUACUCACCGCUGUCCUUAACUGGAUGGCGGUCAAAGGGGCGUGUUCCAUGGGGGCCAAAAACCCCUGUGGGGCCAUGCUCUGGGGUUCCUACUCUUUUACUUUGAGCAAACUUGGGUGUUCAAAGCAGGCAAUCGAGCCUUUGAAGACUAUAGCAUGGGAUAAUGGAACAGGACUGGGGUCCUGAUUUCGUUGGUUUCUGGGAUCUCAGUA
rnacentral:rRNA from 1 species